UUAUUUUGUAAUGUGUUCCUUUCAUUUGGAGAAGUAGGUCUUCCUCUGUCUAACUGAAAUUUGUUUGCUGCAGGUGCAACUGUCCCCAAAAAGGAGAUUAUUGAUGUAAUUAAGAGAUUCAAUAUUCAAGUUAACAACUUAACUCAGGUUGGCCUUUAUGUGUGCCUUCAGUUCUUGUUAGAUUCUAGCGUGUUAUAGCAUGCAUCUAUAUUUGCCCUGCACAUUCACGAUACCUUAAUGAGUUAUUUAUUCUCAACAAAAGCAACUGUGGAGCUUUACCUUAUUUUGCUAUUCUCUGCUGAACCUUCUCUAGUUCUUGCCACAAGAUCGGGUGUCUGAAUUUGCAAAGCUAAGUCCCAUUCAACUUCUAGAAGAGACUGAAAAGGCUGUUGGCGAUCCUGAUUUACCUGUUCAGCAUCGUCAACUUGUAGAGAGAAGUAAGGAACUGAAAGCACUUGAAGUGGUAAAGCCGAACCUUGUACCUUUCGUUUAUGCUUUUGCUUGAAAUGUUUGAAGCUUCCCUGACCCUGACUUUUUCAGAAAUAGUUUGUUGGUUGACUACACCACACUUUUGAUUUACUAUUACUAUUUUAUCUUGUGUUCAAUUUUAGGCUCUAAAGCAAAAGGAACAGACUUUGAAUAAUCUGAAAGCCCUUAAUGCUGAACAAGAAAAAGAUGUUGAACGUGUUCGACUACGAGAUAAUCUCCUGAGAAAGGUAUGCAUCCUCUUGUACAUUUGUAUAAUUUUAACUAUAAGUUUCGUCAAUGCUAUGAUAAUACUACUUUUAACUGUGCCAUAGGCUGAGUUAAUGAGGAAGAAGCUGCCAUGGCUGAAGUAUGACAUGAUGAAGAAAGAAUUCAUAACAGUAAUACAGGAGCAGGAGAAAAUUUCAAAGAAGAAAAUGGAAGAAGCAGCCAGAAUCUGGGAUGAUGCAAAAGGUCCUAUUGAGUACGUUCAUAGUUUCAGAUGGCUUCAAUAAUUCAAUUUGGGAAUGGAAAUUCCUUUUCCUUCUAGAUGUUUUGGAAUUAAAUCAUACUACAUGAUUUGCUAUUCAUCCUGAGAAAUAAAGGUUUCCUUUGAAAGGCCUUCGAUUUGAAUGGAUGAAGUUAGUUUAAAUGCACCUACAUUUAGUUUUUUUCUUUUAGCAAAAAUCCAAUAAUAGGAAACUGGGUCAGCAUCACCUCCAGUUUCGGUUGACAUGCCCCUUCUUUUUCUUGGGUUUUUUUUUUUGCUAACUUGAUGAUCCCAAUUUAAAUAAAAUCUCAACUACGUUGAAGCAAAAUUUCCCUAUUGCCGUAGUUUGUUAAGUACUUAAGAAUUUGUGAAUUUGGCCACUUUACAUAAAAUGUGAAAAAUGAAAUGAAACCUCUCCUCCCAUGUGGCCAAAGUUUUGAAACAAAAGGUGCGAGAUCUGCUCUUUCAGUAAUGCGAGAAACAAAGUUAAAUGGUUGCAUCACCUAUCCAAGGAGGAGACACAAGGGGAUUAACUGAGUGACAUAUAAUAACAUCAAUGGCAGUAUGGCACACCAACUCCGUUGCUGUCAAGCAUCUCCAACCUGUGAUGCACCUAAGUUUCUGUGUCAAAACUGCCGUGCAAAAACACAGGUAGUAAGGAUAUGCUGAAUGGUUUCAUCCUCCUGGUCACAUAGGACACACUGAUCAGGAUGUGGGACACUCCUGUCUCCAUUCUCCAGUUAAACUUUUUACAUGGAUUCUUUCAUUUCAUUUGAUUAAAUCCUUUCUUUUGAUUCAUAUCAGCCUUAGCUGCGCUCCCUCGGCUAGAUAUUUACUUGGAAGUUGCUUAUACAAUAUCCAUGGGUGGCUUCAAAUGCAUGGGAGAGAAUAACAGGAUAAUUAAAAUGCAGUAUAAAAGAUGUUCUUUACUUAUUUAAAGCAAACAAACAAAAACGCUAACAAACGAAGGCAUCAAUAGGUCCGGAAUAAUGCUAUUGGUAUAUGGAAACAAGUAUAUACUCUGACAUACUUUUAAGGUUUUAUGAAAAAUUGCUCUGUGCAACUUAUCUUUAUGAUUGUGCCUUUACAUUGAAGAAAUGCAACUUAGUAUAACAUGUGCUGGCUGAAUUAGGCAAGUCUAAUGGAAGACAUCUUUUUUGCCAUCUUUUUGGUAGAGAACUCAAGAAACACAAGGCAACUCAUACUUCAAACAUAAAGAAGAUAAGUAACCAAGUAAAUGAAAACAUGACCAAGCGCCAGAAGGUUAUCGACAAGGAACUGCAGCUGGUAUGAACCAUUCCUUACCGUAAUCAGGUAUCUAUUACUGUUUUACUGCGUUCACUCUUCGACAUUCCUUUUCUUGGUAUCAGAAUACAGAAUUGAAAGCCACAUUUGACGACAUUGAUGAUUUGAAAAAGCAAGAAAAAUCUCGCCAGCAAAGGAUUCUUAAAGCUAAGGAAGAUCUUGCUGCUGCUGAAAAGGAACUUGAAGGCCUACAGCCGUAUGAACAGCCUAAAGCUGAAAUGGUUGGUUGAUUCACGCUACUCCAUUACCUCCUGCUUUCUUUACAUCUUAUUUUUACUGUCAUCUGUAAAUGACUGGUAUUAUGUCCAGUCCAUGUGAUCACAGCAAUACGAUUUUUUUGUGACAGAAAUUUACUCUAGUAGCUAUAUUUAUGAUUUUGCAAUAGGCACAACUCCGAGACCAAAUUGCACAAGUAAAUGUGGAGAUAAAAAAUCUAAAAGCAGAAAGGAAUACUGUGGAGUCUCAGUUAGCUCGAGAGGAUGAAAGCAUGAGGAAAUGUUCUUAUAGGUAACCUGCUUGUGAACUGCUGUCAUCUCCACUCAAGAUUAGGUUAUCUAACACUAAGUUGCUCCAGACUGAAGGAAAUGGAAAGCAAGAAUCAUAAGCUACUUCAAGCAUUGCAAAUUAAUGGUGCUGAUAACAUCAGUGAAGCAUACCACUGGGUGCAAGAUAACAAAAAGAAUUUCAGGCGAGAAGUUUACGGGCCUGUUCUUCUUGAGGUUUGUUUAAUAUUCCUGUCAGCAGUCCUUUUUCUUUGCAGUCAAGGCACUAUACCUUGUUUCAACUGUUCCCAGGUAAAUGUUCAGGAUAAGCUCCAUGCGACUUAUUUGGAAAGCCAUGUUCCAAACUAUAUAUGGAAGGUACAACUACAGCACUAAUGUUUCAUCUUUUGGUUGUUUCCAAAUUAUGUUGUUUUACUUUUUUUAACGUUUACAUAAAACUAGAGAAAGCAACUAGGAGCAAACAUUUUACCAGUGGCUGCUGGAUUUCCUUGUGUAUACUGCCAUUGCACAUUGCCAUGUUGUAUGCAUAGUACAUUUGCAGAAGCAGAUUUAUCCUCUAGUUACUGAGGAUAAUCAGCGAUUCAGCAUCCAAUAGUAUGACAUUUCUGUAAUUAUUAAUAUACAUAGGUCCAUAGUUUAUUGUCAUUAUUAACUUACAAAUAAUCACACACCAUCUUCUUGUUUCUUUCUUGUGGAAAAACAUUGUAAUUGCUGUAAACAAUUGUUUGGCCAGUCAUUCAUCACUCAGGAUGCUUCUGACCGUGACUACAUGGCUAGAGAAAUGAAGAAGUAUGGCAUCCCUGUUUUGAACUACAUAGUGGAUGAAGGCAUCAGGAGACGACCAUUAAACAUUACUCCAGAGGUCAGCAGAUAUCUUUCCAAGCAUUUGCCCUUAUUUUUCCCCAUCCUCUUAUGCAUGAACAUUCACACUAACCAUCAUCCCUGAUUCCUGAGCAUUUUGGAAGCGCACCAUAGUUAUUCCUUCUGGUCAUGUCACUGAUCUUAGCAUUAAUUAGACUUUUGUUGACACUAAAAACAUACCUUGUGAAAUGCGUGGUAGUAAUGUUGACUGAUCUGCUUAUCUUCCUUUGGCAGAUGGAACAACUUGGGAUCUACUCCCGACUUGAUCAAGUAUUUCAAGCCCCUGAUGCUGUAAAAGAUGUUCUGAUUAGUCAGGCGAUUUUGGAUGAUUCGGUAUAACUGCUUAUGUUCUGUUCAUAAAUCUGAUCAAGUUACAUUGAUUAUUACUCCCUCCAGUGACAAAAGAUUGACAUUUUGGACACUAGCAUGGUGCCUAAAACAUAACUUUGAUUCUUUGACUACUAAUUUCUUCUAAAAUAUGUUUUCAUCAUAGCAAUUUUUAUGACUGCAACCUUUUUUCGUUCAAAACUAUCCAUACCAUUAUCAAAUGUUCAAUUUCAGUGACAAACUGUAAUUGAUGAUCCAGUUUUGAUAGGUUAAAUAGUUAACUGAAGGGAGUACUUAAACCUUCCUAGUAAGUUGUUUUUUUUAAUCUCACUUUUCUCCUUUUCAUCUGUAUUUAGUACAUAGGUACGGAUGAAACUCAUUGCAGAGCAGAUCAGGUAUCAAAGUUAGGUAUUUCUGACUUUUGGACUCCGAAUAACCAUUAUCGAUGGUCCAAAUCCAGAUAUGGCGGUUAUAUGUCAGCAUCUGUAGAUGCAGUCAAUCCUUCUCGUCUUUUCAAGUCCAGUAUGUGUUAUUAUCUCAGCCUUGAUAAAAUUUGUCAUUUACUUAAUUCGCUUGUCAUUUCUUAUUCUUGUCAGCCUUCCCAUGCAGAUCUUGACGUAAGUGACAUUGAAAAUCUUCGACUUCAGAAAGAAAAACAUGAAAAGGACAUUGAAGGAAUGCAUGAAGCUUUAAAACAGCUUCAGAGAAAACAGAGGCAAUUGGAAGAUGAAGAGGCAAAUAUACACAGGCAAAAGGUUCCAUCUAUUUUAAUUUAUUCACUUUUAUUUUGAUUUUUACUUAGUUGUUUCUGGUGACUCUUAUCUUUUGGUUAUUAAAUUUUCUAGGAAGAAAUUAUUAACAUGAUGAAAUCCCAAAAGAAGAAACGAGAAGAAAUACAAAGGCGUGUUGGUAGGAAACUUACUCCUGUUCUUCUACACUUAGAUUGUAUAAUAAUUGGUCUUCUUUCUAGAUAUGAGAAGGAGAAAGCUGGAGGACUUAUGCAAAGAGGAAGAUGUAGAAUCUAGCACAAGAAAGCUGGUUGAUCAGGUGGCUAAGUUAAAUGACAGGCGGUUUCAAGCAAUGAAGGAACUUAAGGUUAGCAGGGCCUUUAUGCUAAUAACUGACAUUGUUUUUAGCUGUUUAUCUUAAAAAACAUCAAGUUACUUUGUACCUCAUUAAGUUUCAUUUCAACUGUAUUAGGAUUUGCUUACUGAAGCAGUUGCUCUCAAGUGGAGUCACACAGAAAAGCACAUGGCUUCCAUUGAGCUUGAUGCUAAGGUAUGUUUCUCUAAUUAUGUUUGCAAAACUAGGCUUCUUAGAAGGGAUUGCCUGUACCAUCAUUUCAUAUCGAAUUGCAUACUAAUAUAUCACAUAACGACUUGUGGCUGUGGUUCAUAAACUAAAGUUGGCUUUAAUUUCUCUUAUAUUGCAUUGCAGAUGACACAAAAUUAUAAUAUUUAUAAAUGCGAAUCUGGUGGUACUAAUUAUUUAUCAUAAAAUCUACGAAUUGUUAGGCUAGUUGUUGGGAAAAAGCCAUGAAGGUUGAGCGCAUCUUAUAGUAGUUUUUUAUAAUUUGGUGUAUCUAUUUAGCAAUUAUGUGGAAAAUUCAGACAAUAAGUGGCUAGUGGGAAAAAUGAACAAACGGUUAAGUGGGAAGUGAACUCAACUUAAUGAAUGAUUUUUUGGUUGGUGUCUUUUUUCCCCUAGUCAUAAUGUUGUGAACUAGUAGCUGUUUUCUAAUGUUGUACAUGGUGUCUAAACACUUAACCAUGGAAUUAUUUGGCUGGCAUUAAUGUAUUUUUGUGUUCUGUUUGACCAUAAUAAAUCAUGUCAUAGAUAUGGGAGAUGGAAAAGGGUGUGAAAAAACUUGAAAAGGAUGCUAAUCUGGCUGCCAGAGAAUACGAAGAUUGUAAGUUGGUGUUACAAUAAAUUCUGCAAUUUUCUUGCAAUAUGUGAAGUAAAAAAUAGUUAACAUCAAUAAUUUGUCUUGUUAGUUAUGAUCUUUUGGUCUUUGAGCCCAUGGAUAUCAGAGACAACUCUCACAACAUGAUCACCAUGCUUCAUAGUCAAUUAUUUCGUACAUUUUUUUACUUGUAAAUUAAAUAUUUUUGCGUACUUCACCAAUUAAUUAUGUGCAACAUGAACGAACAAUUAAUUGAAGGUGAGAAUAUGAACAAACAACUAAAUGGGGUUUGAACUUACAGUUGAGUGAACUUGCAAUUUGUAUUUUUCUAGUUUCUGUUCAAUCGUUGUCACUGUAUGAUCAUGUAAUGAACUUAUCUUUUAAAAAAUUAAAAAGAAAGGGAGAAGCAAAUUACCUUGAAAUAUGGUUGGAAGUGGUAUAAUGGUUUAGUCAAGUAAUUUCCUUUUAACAUUGUACUACAAAUUAUCAUCUGUAGUUGAAGCUGCUUGCCUCCUUUUUUAAGGAGACCUUACCUGCUACUGCUAAUUGAGAAACAAUGCAGCAUAUGGCAUAAUUAUUUUCAUAAUCACAUUUAUUUUAUUUUAUCAUCAGGUAAGAGAAUAACUGCAGAGCAUAAGCGGAAGCUGGCUAUGGCGAAACAGCAUGCAGAGUCUAUUGCCAAGAUCAGUGACCUGGAAAAAGAGUUUCGUGCGGUAUAGUUCAAAUUUGUUUAUAUAAACUUUAUUCUGAAUUCAAAUAUUUUACUAGUUCAUCAAUGUAAAAUAAUUUGAAGUAGAAAGUAAUGAUUAUAACAGUAUUUGUUGUAGUUUCAUUUUUUGUUUUCUUAAGUUAUUUUGAUUAAGGUAUCAGAAAGUAGACUCUGAAAUGUCAACUACCGGAGUAUGUAUUUUGUUGGUUACCUAAAAUUAAAAAUAAAAGAAAAGAUAGUACAAACAACUCAGGAAAAACCAAAGGAAAAUUUGUGUGUGUGUGUUUGGGGGGGGGGGGGGGAGGGGGGAGGGCAUACUGGACAGGGGAUUUAAGGUAGGGAGAUUAAUCAGUUCAUGACAAUGGUUUUUGCAUCAUCUUUGAUCUUAUUUAACAAAAUGCCUCUAAUAUUGGUUCCUUUGUUGGAAUGCUCCAACAUGAAAUCAUUAAUUCAUCAUACUAUAUGUCUGCACACACUUUAUCAGGAUUGAUCUUGUCCAUUAAUAAUGUCUGUUGUAUUAUUACUAGCACCUGGAUUUUUAUGCAGUUAUGCUAUUUUAUCAUCAGGUUUCAACCCUAAACUACCCAAACUUGCUUGGGACUGAAAGGCUUUGAUGUUAUUGAUGUUGUUUAUGCUUUUUUAUCAUCUAGUACACCCUGUUUUCCUGCUCCUUAUUUGAUUCUGCUAUAAUACUUAUUGCAAUCCAGGAACUGUAUUGCAGUCAAACACAAGCAUACAAUAUUUCCAGCUCUAAAGUGCUCUUGAAAGUUCGCUAAAAUUGAUCCUUUGAAAGUCUUGUCCUACUCUAUACUAACACUGAAGGGGCGGACACGACACACAUCUAUGAGAUUUUCGUGGAUCACUAUAGAAUCUUCUAUGCUAACUUCUGUCUGGCUCUGCCAUUUUAUUCAAUGGGCUGGAUGCUGGUGUCUCCAUGAUCCAAAUAAACUUCUUAGCAGCAUGCUUUAGCACUAACAAUCCGUUUACUGAUUCUUUCACUCCUUUGUAAUUGCAGAUGCCUCCUACCAUAGAAGAACUGGAAGCUGCAAUACAAGAUACUGAAUUGGAGGCAAAUUCUAUGCUAUUUCUAAACCAAAAUGUUUUGCAGGAGUAUCAAAACAGGCAACGCGAGGUAUCAAACUAUACCUGGUUUAUACAUGCUGGCCAGUUAGCAAUGAUUAUGUUUUAUCGUCUUUAUUCUUGUCGGAAGAACUGUCUACUGAAAACUUUGCGGUUGGUUUUUAUGGGAUUAUCGACAUGUGUUUUUGAAAUCUUUCUGGAGACCAUAACUUUGUGAGGGAAUCAGGGGAGGCAUUAUGAAAUGUCUAUUUCCUGACGUGCAUUAAAAAUUGCGGAGGUCGCUUACCAUAGAGUGCUCUCCUUUCAUGCUACACCCUUCUGAAAAUGCUCGGCUAUAUAUGCAGAAUGUGCUGCUAUUGGGGUGUAAUCAUGUUUUGGUCUUGGUGUCAAUAAACUAGGAUAGUAGACGAGGCAGCUUGACCUUGGACAUUUGAACAAUGAACACUUGAACCAUCUAAAAAGAAGUUAAGUUUGAGCGCGUAGCUUUGAGUAACAGCAUUUCUUCAUCUACCGAAUUAUAAUAUGUUACACUGAGCUACUAAAUCUAUCUGCUGCUUCUACCUAGAAUUAUUGUUGACUCACUAUUUUGAUUUUACAGAUAGAGUCAAUCUCAAAUAAACUUAAGGGUGAUAAAGAUGAAUAUGAAAUAUGCUGCUCCGAAAUUGAAACUGUAAAGGUUUGAACACUUCAUGUUCCCACCUAAACUAAAAUCAAUGUUCUCAUAUUUUUGGAUGCAUCUGCUUUGACUUGAAUUUGAUCGUUUUGUAGGGUAAAUGGCUUCCAACUCUGCGGACUCUUGUUUCAAAAAUAAACGACACAUUCAGUCAUAACUUUCAAGAAAUGGCAGUUGCUGGAGAAGUUUCACUGGGUCUGUAUCAUUCUCUUUCUUCUCCAUUACUUGUACUUUGUACACUUUGAUAACACACAAAUCAUCGUGCCAAAACUUCCGUGCAGAUGAGCAUGGUCUUGAUUUUGAUCACUACGGCAUUCUUAUAAAGGUGAAGUUUAGGUGAGUUUCUUUUACCAAGUGAGAGCAAUGUUCUGUAUUCUGAUAUUUCUUGAAAUUGGAUGAAUAAAUAACCAGCAGCCCCACACCUUAUUAAUGAAUAUACUGUUCUGUCGCGGUAAGCUAGCUUGGUAUUGUCUACUCCUAAUUACAUUAGCCUGAAGUAUGAUGGUGUAACCAGGCUCAGCCUUUCCGAGUUGGCUAAAGGGAAACUUUGAGUAGUUAAGAAAUUAUAUUAUUGAUAUAAUCUUAUGAUUAUUAGGCUACAAAUUAUCUAUUAGGAUCAGUCCUACAAAUGAUCUUUCUGUGUUCCCUGUAGCCCAUUGUGAAAGGUUUUCUUUUUUUCAAAUGGACAGAAUAGAAAUGAAAUAGCACACUGUGUGUAUUAUAUUCCCUUAUCCACUCUCUCCAAAGUUUAAGUAUCUUUCUUUCCAAAGCUCGUGAGUGCAUGAUGUGAAGCAGGCUAGCCUUAUUUUGCGGCGUGCUAUAUUUGUAGUGGGCUGCUCUCUUUGAAAAAAGAACCCACUAUGAACAGCUCCAUAUCUGAGUGCAGUUCACUAUUGAUGCCCAUAUCGUCUGAAAGUGAAUGGUGGUCAUAUCAUAAUACGAAGCAGAUUACACUUGUAAAAUUCUCGGAGUUAUGCAAACUGUGACUGUACAGCGAACACUGAAUACAAAAUAAUUUCCUAACAUGAUUGUUCCAACAAUAUUCUGUGAAGAUGGCUUGUUCUUCUGUGAUCUUUUUGCUUCCUGCUUCCUAGUCUCAAUCAGGCAGGAGAUCUAAGUAGAUGCUGGUCUGGUGCCUUGUAUAAAAUUCUAAUUCCAACUGGGAAAAAAAUUCCAUAUUUGCGCCUGUGGAGUCUGGCUGGGGCUAGAAGAGUUUCUCAUCUCCUCACCCCGAUGCCUUCAUCAGUUUAGUUUUAGUAGAGGUCUUGUAGGGUCUGAUCUUUUCUGUUUUUGUUAAACAGGUGAGUAGUUUUUCUGUAAAGGUAAUGGUUUUUUCUGUUCAGGUUGUUUUCCAAAAAAAAAACCUGGCUGUAUCUUGGGUUUCUAAAACCCCUUUUCUUCUUAAUAUAUUGAUACGCAGCUCUCCUGCGUUGUUGAGAAAAAAAAAUUUGUUGCUGAUAUAUAUUUGUUCUAUCCUGUGCUUCUUCUAGCAUGUAGUUUGAGGUUUUGAUAUGUUUUCUUUUGGCUGUCAGGCAAACUAGUCAGCUGCAGGUGCUAAGUGCUCAUCACCAAUCUGGAGGGGUAUGAAGAAAUAACAACAGUCAGAUUGAUUUUGAAACCUUUUUCCCCUACUUCUGAUCACUAUUAUUUCCUUCCCAUUCAUAGGAGCGAUCAGUAUCGACCAUCUUGUAUCUUGUGUCACUUCAAGAUCUUACCAACUGCCCCUUUCGGGUGGUUGAUGAGAUAAAUCAAGGCAAGGCAACUGGAAUUGUCCCUCAGUUGUAUGACUGUUACCUUGUAAGCAUUUAGGUGAUCUAACUCAUCCCAUCCAAAAGUGCAGGAAUGGACCCCAUAAAUGAGAGGAAGAUGUUCCAGCAGCUUGUUAGAGCUGCCAGCCAAAUUAACACACCACAGUUAGUGACAGUACACGCAACACCUUGUACAGCAUGCAUAUCUACAGACCUUCUGACAUCUGGUAACUGCCUGUUUCUUUUGGCCGCAGGUGCUUCCUUCUGACGCCCAAGCUGCUGCCUGAUCUGGAGUACAGCGAUGCCUGCAGCAUUUUGAACAUCAUGAACGGCCCAUGGAUCGAGAAGCCAGCGGAAGGUACAUGUCUAUCUAUGCGUUGUUAAUAAUCCAUGCUCAUCGUGCUGGUGGGCUGAACAUGAAAGCUAAUAUAUAUGCUUGAUACUUUCAGUUUGGAGCGCCGGGGAUUGUUGGAGGGACGUGAUGAGAUCUGCAGUGCAUUGAUUGGCCGAAUCCUGCCUUGGCAGCAGCAGGCUUUUGUAAAGUUAAAUGUGUAGGUUAUCUCGAAGCAGCUUUUGGGUGGUUAAUUUAAGUUUUAGAUGUACUCCAUGUAAAUUUAGGUGUUUCUAGAAAAAAAUUGUAAAUUGCAUUUCGAUGCAGUGUGUGUUGGUAGAAGUAGAAUGAUCUAGAACUGACUGGAGCCUGGAGGCUUGUAGAAGUAGAAUGAUCUCUACCCUGUAGGCUGUAGCUGACCAGCUGGUAUCUCUGCAUUUCGAUGCAGUGUAUGUUAUUUAUCCACCAGCAUCGUUCAGUAAUUCUUUUGCAGUGUGACUCUGCACUCUGCAGCGCUAAUCCAUGUGUUUGGCGCCUUGUCUAUUCUGGCUGCGCCAUUGUUUGCUUCCGCAUUCUGAUGUCAAAUCCGCUCGACUGGCAUAUGUUCCAGGCAACCUGUCGCUCGCUUCCGCUGCAUUUUUGUCAGCUCUCGCUAAUCUUAGCGAAAUGUUCAGAAGCGAAAUGGGCCUGGGUGCCCGGUGACCCUAUUUACGGGUUGCACGGUCGCGCUAGAAUUCUUGUUCUUGUACAUCCCGCUGAGCAAGAUCCCGGCCGGAGCCAGCCAUGUCAGUCGCUGUGGCCUCGAAGGCGGCACGGUCACCUUUACCCUUUACCAUCACCAUCCCGAUUUUGCAAUUCAAUCCGUGUGUAGGAAGGAAGUGUGUUUAUCCGAGUCCUGAACAUGAUUUAAAAUACACAAGUUUACUCUUCGGAAGUGCCAAGAACAUUAUAACAUGCUAGGCCUUUUAACAUGGUGGCCUUUUAACCAGGACGGGGCCGGACCUUACAAAGAUCAGAUGCUAGGCCUUUUAACCCCGACCUCUCGACAUACCAGCAUUUGGCUUUAAUAAGAUAAUAAAUGCCGUCGUCCAGCUCAAUCAUGACCCACACACUACCUGUCUCCAGCCAACAGGCAAGUUUACGAGGGAGCCCCUCGAGAAACCGUAAACCACCAAAGCGUCCAUUCCACAGCUGCGGAGCGAUCUCAUUCUCAUCUCGGCUUCGCCGCCGCCGUCGCCGCCAUGCCUCCCUCCCCAUCCUCCACCGGCGCGGGCGCCGCCUCGCCGUCCCCCUCCGCCUCCGCCUCAGCCUCGGACCCGACCCCGUCCUGGUGGGAGUCGGUCUCGCAGGCGCGGUCCCGCAUCCAGACGCUCUCCUCCAUCCUGCCCCCGGCCGCGUCCCAGGACGUCGCGGCGCUGGCGGACUCCGACCGCCCCGCGCGCGCGCUCCUCCGCUCGCCCGCCGCCUACUCGGCGCUCUCCGAUGCCCUCCGCGCGGGCGGGGGCGCCGACGACCCCGCCUGCCACUGGCUCUACGACACGCUCCUCUCCGCUGACCCCGACCUCCGCCUCGCCGCGCUCGCGUUCCUGCCCCUACUGGCGGCGCUCUACCUCCGUCGCCUCCCGCCCGAGCUCCCCUCAUCGCUCUCAGGGUUCGAAGCGGUGCUCCUCGCCGUCUACUCCUCUGAGGCUAAGAAUCGUCAGGGGAAGCCCGUCCUCGUCCAGGUCCCGGACCUCUCCGUCCCCUCGCUGUACCACACGCCGGCGUCCAGCCCCAGCUCCAAGUCUCCACGCCGGCCGCAGCCCCCGCCGAUUCCCCCUCCGCAGGCCACCCCCGUGGUGGGGGUGCUCUCACCACCCUUGGAGCCGCAGGCCGCUGUGAAGUCCACGAAGCGCGCAGGGAUAAUUGGGGUCGCUUUUGAAGCUUACUACUCCAAGAUUUCGCAGAUGCCGGCUGCGUCAAAGGUGGAUGCCUGCAAUGCUGUGGCGGCUUGGGCGGGGCAGUACUGCAAAUGCCGAUUUGAGCUUGAUGACAAGGAGCUGGAGGAAGAGGAGGGGGACUCUCUGGGGUCUGUGUCACCAAUGUCAUUGGAGGCUGAGAAUGGGAAGGAGUUGGAGAAGGAACUGGCAAGGAUGCACAUCAAUGGAACUAGCAGUGGGCGAAAUUGCGGUGAGGAGGAUGACAAGGAGGGGAGAGUGCCGCUACCCUGGGAGCUGCUCCAGCCGGUGAUGAGGGUUCUUGGGCACUGCUUGCUUGCACCGCUGAACCCAGUCGAGGUGCGGGACGCAGCUGCAGAUGCUGUCAGGAUUGUCUACGCCCGUGCAUGCCAUGACCUUGUGCCACAGGCAAUCUUAGCAGCCAGAAGCUUGAUUGAGCUUGACAAGAGUGCACGGAAGGCUGCAAAGGCAGCAGCUGCUGCAGCUUCUGGGACAAUUGUGGCUGCUGGCACUGCUGGAAGCACUGCGUCGGGUUCUAGGCCAAGUUCAAAGCCAAACACACCCAGCAAGCAGCGCAAGCCUGACACAUUACUCGCGUCCAAAUGAAGUCAACUGUAUCCAGGGAGUGUUUGCAGGAUGGUACAGAGUUUCUUUCUCAUGAUUAUUGUGUGUGCGUGCCACUUGAAUAUUGGUGAAAGUUCAGUAGACAUUGCAAUGUGUAAAACGGUACUAUGGGUGGAAGAGAAUUGGCUAAGGUUGUUUCCAACUUGGUGUUGUAUGUUAACUUGUUUAUGUUCCUUGCUGCAUAUAGUUGAUGAAUCAACAUAUAAAUUUUGUAUUUGGUGGCUUGUUGAGGAGCAAGCAUUCAUACAUUGGUUUCCGUUGUUAUGUUUAUCUGAAUUUCUUGCAGCAGUGCACGCUGAUAUUUUACGAUUUGUGUGCCGUAGAAGCAUAUGAUGCAAUUUAUUGUGUCUUUAUGUACCCAAGAGUAUUUAUAUCACUUGGUGACUCGUGUAGUUGUAUGCCUAAAGUUGAUUCUCUGUAUAAUUACAUAAUGUUAAGUGAAAAGUGAUGCUAGAUUAGCUAGAAAAAAGUGAAAAAAGUCAAAAACCUAGCGUCUAUUCCAGAAAGAAAUGGUGUGCUCGCUUCUUCUAUCUAAUUUUCUACUGCGAGUUGUUUGCUGCUCCAUGUAUUGGGUUUGCUAGUAGCUGGAAGUUGUGCCACUGCAUCCCAGUUGUAGCCUUGUAGGGUAUGUCUGGUAAUCUGGUCUGACUUUUUCUACUAGAGUUGAUUGUUGUAAACCUGUAGAUUGUAGUGGGUUAUCUUCAUUUCUUUGUAGAUUUCUAUAAGACGUGCAUGCAGUUCAGGGUUCAAACUUCAUGGCUUUUACCAACAACUAGCCCAACAAUUUGCAGAUUUUGUGAUAUGGGAUUAGUACCACCGAAUUCAUAUUUACAUAUAUUAUAAUUUUUGCCAUCAGUAAUGCAAUUUAAGAUAAAUUAAAGCAAACUUUACUUUAGUCUGUGAGACCACAACUACACAAGUCAGACCGCGUCUUAGGGCCUGUUUGGAUACACCCUCAUAAACUUUAGGACACUCAUAAAGUUUAGGAGCUAGAAAUUGGUAGUCCUAAAAUUUAUGAGUGGGCUGUUUGGAUGGAAUCAUAAUCUUUAGGAUGUUAGAGGGGAAAUGACUUUUGUACCCCUAAUUACUCCAUCCCUGCUCCGUUUCUAGCGCCGUGGAGAGAGAAGGGAGGGGCAAGAGGGGUAAAUGAUGGGUUGGGGACCACUUUUAGGAGAAAAAUGACCCAUUAUGAUGGUUUGGUCCUCCUAAUGAAAAGAGCACUCCUAAACAUUAUGAAUGCACUUUUAUGACAUAUGUUUGGAUGCACAAGUCCUAAAAGUGGACUAAAAGUGAAGUUCUAAAGAUUAUGAGUGUGUAUCCAAACAUGCCCUUACAUUUUGAAAUAGGUGCAGCAGGUAAGGCUUUUAUUCUUGUGAUGGUAGCGUUCGACUAGUUGAGCAUUUAUUACUCACCAACGGUGCUCAACACAAGCAACCAAACAAACCCUGAUGGGCUAGCUUGAUCCAGGAGAUUUUGAGCAAAGCCGGUGCUUUUUAUAUGUUACAACUUAUAAGCAAGUCACACGCAUCUCCACUGUCCAUUGAUGUUACAACAUAAGCUAACAGGGCCAAAUGGGACAUACAGGAACUGAAGUUACAAUACAAAGCACAAAGAGUGGUGGUCACACCGUGCUCCAUUUGAUCUCGACUUGUAUCAUCCCGUUCCUUGAGUUGAUCAGGUGGUAUUUCUCGUUGAUUCGGCCAUUGUUCACCACGUCCACAAGGUUUAUAUUCACAUGCCCCAGGGAUUCCUGAAAGAUUGAGAGAUCAAGCAUUUUGCGUUAUGACAUCAAUAGAGGCUGCUGCGACCUGAAGGCAAGGUAAUGAGCAGUACUUGCCUUGUUGGGGUAAGGAAGUCCGCGGCGUUUGCUUUUAACUUCAAUGUGGAUCUUGUCUUCCACAGGAGGCUCGUCCAACAUGAACUGGAACUCCUCGCUCCAUCUUGGAUCUCUCGUCUUCCUUAUCACCUGCAGCAGCAAAUGUACAUAGCACAAUGAAGAUGAUGUUGCUAUGGUACGGAUUUUGGUUGGUGGAUUUCAUGCAAAAAAAUUAGAGUAAAACCACUAGGAUGCAAAUGUGAGGUAUGGACAGUUUCAGAUGGUUAUGACUAGUUUGCUGUUCCAGUCCUUUUAUGUGCCACCUUUGACCCAAAUGGUUAUGAUGCAAGUUUCUGUUCAGAUGAUAGUCAUGGUAGAAUGAACUGCACCAAUGUGGCAAUGUCCUUGCGGAAGCAGGGGCAAGUAUUGUUAUGCUAGUGAAAUUCUGGAUCAGUUCUCCAAAUGGAACUAUAGGAUGCACUGAGACACCUAUCAUUCUAAACCUUUCUGCUCAAUAAGCUUUCCACAACUUUAGCCUAGCAGGUCAAGAACCUGGACAUGCAUACUCAGGAGUCUGGACCUAUCACUUCUAAGCUCAGACAUUGUUACCAAAUUACAUAUAGUUCAAUUCACCUGGCUAUAAAAAUGAAAAGCAAAAACCAAUAAAGACAAAAGUCUCUCAAUAGGGUUAAAUUGUCAUGGUAACGUAGGCUUAAUCCCAAACUGUAACUAAAACAUGUAAAAAAUGUCACUGAACUUAAGAAGAGGGCUUUGUUAUGUUUGGUGGUACACAUUUGAAAAAUGAAUGAGCAUUGCUACAGGAAAGGAAUUUAAAAGUGUUACCUUUGUUUUCUUCCGUUCUCCCCUGAAAAGAACCUCAGCAUAUGGAUUAGUGUGCCGCUUCCCUUCGACAUCUUCUGCAUUUUCUACAGAAACCAACAACACCCCACCACUGGAAUCACCGUCCGCUUCCCUUCUUGCACUGGCGAUACCUUCACCAUCUGAAGCCACACUGGCCGUGCUGUCUUCUCUGAAGGGAUCAAAAGUCAACUCAACAACGAGCUUUCCUCUGUUCUUCUUGUUAUGUGGAUCAUUUGGGUUCAUGCUUCGAACAAGGUCGAGUGUGAAUAACCUGCUCUCAUAAGGAGUAAGCAAACGGAGCGGAAUUACUUGCAUACCCAAUUUAUCAUGCAUUUUAACCUGCACAAUCAGCAACAGGAAGGUGAUUAAUUGGUGUCUCUUCUUCCAAUGCAAUCCAGGAAAAGUAUAUGAUUGUAUAAAAAAUGAGGGUUAUGAUGGUAUCGGAAGUAGAAAACAAGGAUGAUAAGUUGCAUACAGCAAGAAACCUUUUCCCAAUCAAACAUGUGGAGCUCAAGUAGUUGCGUGCCUGGAUCCUUUACUAUGAACUUGAAGUGUUCAUUCCAUUCAGGAUUCAGGUUGCUCAUCUUAACAGUUGUUUUCUUUGAGGGCAGUCUUUCACCACUCAGGCGCAUCUUGACAUAGGGAUCAGAUUUUCCCAGCAAGUCCAUCUUGAGAAGAUUCAUGGCUCUAAUUACCUUCACAUGUAAGAUUCCAACAGGCUUCUUUGUAGCGCCACUGCAAUAUGGUUCAUACAAUAGUCAUACUAUAAGCAGAACCACAAGGAUUUUUACUAGAAGCAGUUUUAAUGAUUAAUUUUCCCUCUUGUACAGAUAAUCUUAUCACCAAAUUAUAUGUGGACUUUAUGUUUUAAGAAAAUAUUAUGUGGAAUACCGUAGUAUCAUAUGCACGUAAAUAAAUAUAAUCAGGGGGCUCGGAUUGAUGUUUAUCUUGUUGAAAGCAGGAUGGCUUGAUGCAACUUGAUUAUGGGAGUUAAAAAAUUGCUAGAGAAUUUCACCUUGCUCCAUCUAAGAUUGGAAUCUGUAUGACCUUAGGCCAGUGAUACAGAAUUGAGAUUUGCUUUGAUAUUUGAUCCUGUGAGAAACACAACAGAUGCUUAAUAAUUCCAGGAGAACAUAGUAUAUCAUGAUUCAAGACUUUGGGUAAUUUUUUUUAUCCAAGGCAGACGAGCAGUAAACUACCUGAACAUACUGAUACAAGCCCGGUAUUGCCAUGACAUCUCCCCCAAACAAUUUGAAUCCAAAAUCUAUGCGUGGCUGUAUCCAUAAGACUUUGUUAGUAUUCUACUUUUCUUUAAUGAAAUUAAGUGCAGACCAGCAAACAUAUUUAUACCUUCUCCAUUAGUGAAACACACAAGUUAGAAAAGCAGGGAAAGCUCGGCACAAGCGGCUUCAGAGUAACACGUGGUGUUAGCAUUAUAUGUAGAUCUUCAAGCUGAAAAUGGCAAUAUGAUCACGACUGUGGACUACCAAGCCUUGUCUGUACAAUGCAGCCAGGAACAAAGCAAACCUGAGCAGACACUUUGAAAGAAUGCACCUUCACAUUUACGAUGACACUCAUGAUGCUAGCCCACCGAAUCACAGGCUCAAUUACCAAUUCUUUUUCUCGCAUUUCGUAGACUUUAAUACCUGUUGUAGACAAGUAGAAGUAUGGGGAAGAUGUCCAAAUGAAAGCCAAUACAAGUUGCCAAGUUGGAUGUCAAGUAAACAAAGAAUCAUUUCAAACUAUAGUUCUACUACAAUGCAUCACGGUAGAAGUCGGAAUGAAUGCCCUAGCUUUAAAUUCUAGGACUACUUUCCUUCAAGAGACUUGUAAGAAAUUCUGCACUAAAUCAGAAUUAGUUAAGCACCAUUUUAAUUAACUAGACUUUAAACUUCAGUACCAAUUCAGUCUGUUCGUAUUGCAUACUUGAGUUAUAUAACAAUAGAGUUUGUCGGCGGUAUAGUAAUGAUAAUCACUGUUUAGACAAUGUUGCUGUAUCACUGGUCUUUAGGAGAAAUUACGGACCUUGAAAUGUAGGUGGAAGAGACCCAAGUGUCAAUUGUUCAUAUUCAAUUGAUUCUAUACCAUACUUCCCGACAUAUUGAUCAAAUAUUGGUCUUGUUGCACGUUUUAUAUUGUUGCAUAUUGCCUGUACAAGAAAGCCAAAGAACAUUAUUCUGGAUAACCGUGCUUCCUUACUAAAAUUUGUACAGCACCACAAUGAUGUUGCCAUUAAUAACACACUAAAUUUGUACCAAAUAGGCCAGAUGAAAGUUGAAAUAACCUUAUCCAAGAAAGGCCACAUGUCAAAAAUGAACUUGUUCAUCCAGUCAAUCUGCAAAACAGUAGGUGGUCCUAAAUUAUCCCUUCAAUCAUGAAAUAUUGUGUUUGACCAUUUGUAACACCAUCUUCCAAUAAAAAAACAUUCGUAAAUAUUUAUAAUAAUAUUUUGAAUGUCUGUAAAAAAAUUGAACCAUGCUAGUCGAACAUCAAAUAACUAAUUUUCUUAUCUGCCUCGUCAAGGAUUUAAGAAAAUACUCCCUUCGUUUCAAACUGUAGGUCGUUUUGGGUUUUCUAGGUUCAUAGAUGUUUGUAUGUAUCUAGACUUACACUAAAUUUAGGUGCAUACGAAAAUCUAUGCAUCUAGAAAAGCCAAAAUGACCUACAAUUUGGGAUGGGGGAGUAUGUACUAUCUUUCUGAAGAUACCCAAGCUAACAUGAGUGAGUAACACGAUCCCAUCAUCCACAUUCUACAAUAAUAAUAAUAAAAAACUUGAGCCGUGGGAGAAGACAGCCCACCAAGGCAUUGCAUCUAAGGUCGACCAGAGGCUUCACUGAAAGAGACAUCAUGGCUGCCCAGGAGGCCAGGACCAUGCUGAAAGUGGCACACAGUGAGAUGUCUUCACGCUAACAAGUAGGUGGCUUACCACCUUGCUACAAGAACACUCUCAUAAUGAUAAUAGAAAUGCUCACUGGCAUAACAUGACACACUUUCUAAACCUCAUUUCUCAAAUUGGGUGAUUGAUAGCUCACAUAUCCUUAUUAAGUGGGAAUACUUGUAGAGUUGGUGACUUUCCAAAAGAAUAAAUAAAGCAAUAUACAGAAAUAUUUGUCACAUUAAUUUGAAGCUCACAUAUCCAUUGUUUGUUGCUAUGUUGACAACAAACAGAGACUGAUAUAUUACGAACGUUUGCUGAAGAAACAGAGAAUAAAUCAUUGGAAUAGUACUAUAGCAGUGCAACAAAUACUCACCCGCUCAUAGUCUGGGCUCUUCACCCAUAAUGGAAUAUCUGGUAUUGUUGUCUGCAGGGUCUCAGAAUCUAAAUCCCGUAAAGGUCUAAUGACAGGAUCCUGUGAAGUCAAUCAUGAAUAAUCAGAUCACGAUCACAAUGCAAAAUUAUUAAUAGAGAUAGAGAAUUACCAUAAAUAUCAACCUCUAUGGGAAUUUAAAUUUGUAAUAGUGUUGCCUGCUAUAACCAGGUAAAAAAAUUAUGAAAGAAAAAAAGUCAGGUUCAAGAGUUUCAAAAAUUCAGAUUACGUUUUUUGUAUGCAAGUUCAGUUUUUUUUGUUAACGAAUAAACUAGUUAUUACCACUAGUUAAAGAUUCGAAUUUCAAACUUUUCUGCAAAAAAAAGGCGCGGGGGUGGGGGUGGGGGUAGCAUUUCAUGGUUUCAGUUUGAUUUAGUUAUUACUACGUCAAAGCUAUCUUUUGAUAACUCAUGUUUUGAAAACGAUGGUUAUGACUUUUCUUUACUUAACAUUGUGGAUCUGAUCCUUUCUUUUCUUAUGAGCUAAGAUAUCCAAAUGUCAUUUUAAUCUUAGUAGAAAGACUUUAGAAUAGUACGGCAGGUAUAUGAUUUAGUAAAUUUCCAAGUUGGAUUAUGUUUCCAUCAUAUUCAACCAUGUCCUUUUCGUUCCUAUGGGCUAACCGGUGAAACCACCUGUAACUUAGCUCUGACCAUGAUGCCCUUCCAAGGAAAUGAUUCCAAGCACAUUAGACAACAAUGGAAGAAAAGCAUCGUUUACAUCGCUAAGCAUCCGGUGAUACAAUGUAUCCAUCUGCACUAAUCCCGUUUCAAACUGGCAACCACACUAAGGUCAUGUUUAGUUCACUCCAAAUCCCAACUUUGACACUAUGUAAAAAGAAGAUUCCCCAUCAUAUUAAACUUGCGGUACAUGCAUGGAGUACUGAAUGUAGACGAAAUUAAAAACUAAUUGCACAGUUUUGUUGUACUUUGUGAGACGAAUAUUUUGAGCCUAAUUAGUCAAUAUUUGGACAAUAAUUCACAAAUACAAACGAAACGCUACAGUAUUGCUACAGUAAUUUUGGCACCCCAAAAUUGGACAACUAAAUAAGCCCUAAACAAAUGCAAACAUAAUAUCUUAUUGUUACAGACUUGGCACGUCCUUCUUGAAAUCUGUGGUAUCGGCAUUGUCCCACGUAGACACAGAUGCAUAACCCCAGGUGAAAUCAAUACCGUCGUCACUGUAGCUCAAAAUAAUCCCAUCAUAAUUUGCUGAAACCUCCUGAGCAGCAGUUUUGUAAUCGGAAAGCACGCAUCUAGCUGGUAUAAACCCGUUCGUGCAAGUUGCCACUUGGGAAGCAUAACAGCAAGACGAACCAGAAUCAGAUACGCAAUCGAUUCGGCAGGCCAUUCAAAGCUGGAAAAGUCCUUUCAGCUGGCCAACUAUUUCUCAAAGGAACCUACUGGACAACCAAAGACUCAAGAGGCGUCUCGAUCGGGCAUGACUGAAAUUUGCUCCAGGUGAGGCAAUCUGACAUGGGCUUUCGAGGACCACACGGCACGAUCUUCUUCCCAACGCCGCAUCGUGUACAGAAAUAUAGAAUAAGCUCUAGCAACUCAGCACGAAAGUGCUUGGUCGGUGAAUUAGGGGGUGUUUUUCCUCCAAGCUUCAAGACGUGAAUUAGGGGGUGUUUGAUUCCUCGAACUAAAGUUAGUCCGUAUCACAUUGAAUAUUUGGAGGCUAAUUAGGAGGACUAAAUAUGAGUUAAUUAUAAAACCCAUUACACAGAUGGAGGCUAAACGGCGAGGCGAGACGAAUCUAUUAAGUCUAAUUAAUCCAUCAUUAGCAAAUGUUUACUGUAGCAGCACACUGUCAAAUCAUGGACUAAUUAGGCUUAAUAGAUUCGUCUCGCCUUUUAGCCUCCAUCUGUGUAAUGGGUUUUGUAAAUAGUCUAUAUUUAAUACUCCUAAUUAGUAUCUAAACAUUUGAUGUAACAGGUGCUAAAUAUUCGAUGUGACAUGUGCUAAAAAUAAGCAGGUUGAACCAAACACCCUAUAAGAUAACCGAUAGGAAUUCCAAACAUCCCAAUCAGAUCUUCCCCAACCCCAACCUCAGGCACAAUCUUCCCCACGUCUCGCGUAGCGUAGAACAAGCCAACAACUUACUACUACGUGCUUGGUCGCCAUUUCUUCUCCAAGAGGCCGAAGCUAAUUAAUUAACCAACAGGAACCAAACAUCCCGAUCAAAUCUUUUCCCCAAUAAUAUGUGGGGGACCGGCAGCGGAGUCGAUGGCUGCUUCUGCUUGCGUGUGCAGCCUCGAUUCUGGGGACCCAUCGUGCUGAUGAUGAGUGAGUGAGUGCAUGACUGAUUUUGUGGCUGACGAUCGAGCAAUGAUCCUAGCCGAUGCGUACGUGCACCCACUAAGCACGGAGCGUGCAUCAAAUUAACCAACACACGAUCAAUCGAUUCUCACGGCGCGAUCAAUUCAAAGUUUCAAACUAAUGCAGCAGCGGAACGUGGGAGGACUGGAGGAGGAUGCUCACCUGGAGGCGGCGAGCGGCGAAGUAGCGGAGGUAGAGGAAGUAGGCGGCGGCGAGGCCGAUGGGGAGGCCGACGCAGAAGCCGAGGACGCCGCCGACGAGGCCCAUCGCCGCCGUCCUCCCUGCGAUGAUCGCGAAUGCCGCUGCGCCGCCGUCGCCGCCCACGGCGGCAACCGCAUGGGGAGUCGGGAACCGCCCGUACGCGCGGAGGUUGGUUGCUGGCGGUUGUCGUGUGGCUCGGUGGUUGGGUUGCUCCUCCUCGGAGACGUCGAACCGAGGCGGGGACAACUACUACUAGAACUAGACGCGGCGGAGCGGGGUGGGGGAGGCGGGAAGGGCGAAGCGAGCAAGAGGGCUGAGCUGGCGGUGUUUAUCGGGGGGAGGGGGCGGAGAACGGGAUGCGCGCCGGCGCUUGGCUGAUGGGUUUUAUGGCGAGGCCGGCGCGCCCGUGCCGCGCGGCGCGGAUGGGUGGAAAAGAGAACCAGCCGAAAUCCACGCGCCGCGCCCGAACAAAAGCCUCGCGGCGGCGGCGGCGGCGGGGGCAGGGGCCAGAGCCCAGGGAGCUGAGGGCUCGGCGCACGGGCGCACGGGCGGAUCGCGUGCGUGCUAGUCCGCGACACGGCUUCAGGCUUUGCUCCUGUUCGUUGUCUUGACUGGGGUGGUGUUGGUUUGGUGGUUGGCCGCUUCCACAUUGCCGUCGGCUGACGGCUGACGACGAGACUUGCCAAAGGCGAUGGCUUUUGGGUUGGCCAUUUGCCCGUAAUUCCAAGCUGCCGUUCAGCCCAACUCCUGCACCUGAUCUUGUUUGGAAGUCAGGCCCGAUGUGUACUGAAGCAACGGUUACACCUCCAUAGCUACCCCCCGUGUAAGAGCAGCUCCAGCGUGUAGUUUUAGUUGGUGCUAGCAGGAGAGAGGAUGGGAUGGAGAACUUUUUUUUUAUUUUUAACCCUUUUUUUUCUUUAUUUAUAAAAAUAACCUCAGCGGGGGUUUAUUUGCGCGGCCUAACCCUUUUGGCCGCGCCAGACCGCCUGGCGCGGCAGGAACAUGCUGCCGCGCCACAUGCACUGGCGCGGCAGACCCCUGCCACGCUGGCGUGGCGAGCCGCGGCGUCAGCGCCCGCCUGCCGCGGCGCCAGGCCGGCGCCAGGCGGGCGCUGACGUGGGCGGGCGUUCGCCGCGCCAGCCCGCCUGGCGCGGCAGGGCCAACACUUAGACCGCGCGCCGGCUCCCUUCCUCCUCCCUCCCUCCUUUCUUCCUCCUCCAGACACACCACACAGCAGCACCUUGCAGCGCCGGCCCCCGCCACCCCACCCCCAAAUCCACCAAAAAUCCGGCGUUUUUGGUGGGGGAAAGUAGUGGGAAUCGAUCCCUGCUUCGUGUGGAAGGUAUUCCCCUACUUAUUCUCGUGUUUUACCGUUGCAUUUGGUAGAUCGGAGGAUGUUUAUGUGACUUAGGGUUAGGUUAGUGAUUUGAAAUUUUAAUGAAAUGCAAUGGUAUUUUGUGUUAGAUGAUACGUAGUUCAUACGCAAUUGAGUCUCUGCCCGCGAUAUUGACGUGUAGAACUUGUUGAAUGCUUCGAUUUAGGUAUAUAUUCAUCCAAUUGUGUGGUUUACAUGACAUGUAUUUUUUUUAUAUGUUCAAUUAAUUACUCUCAUUUUUGUUUCAGUGUUUGUAUUUUGUAGAUCGAGUGUUUACAUUUUAUCAAAAUGAUGUAUAGCUAGUAUGGAUUACGUGUGUAAAGUUUAUUUGUGUAUUAAAUUUGUUGCACUUGAUUUCCAGGUGAGAUGGCGUCGUUUGGUUCUGAAUACAAUCAAGGCAUCCAAAGACAGCCGGAAGAGCCUUCUAUGUAUGCAAAUGGACUUUUGAUCCAUUGCCUGCCGCACCUUGCGAUUUCUUUCAGUGGAUCGAUGGACCCGACAAAUAUGAUCCUAGGAUCCGCCUAUUCCCAUAUCAUAGCACAGAGCUUAAACCAUACCAUAAGUUUAGGCGUUGGGUUCCUCCUCCACCAAACCCACCUAGGAUGACCGAUGAGGAGAAGCAGGAGGCUGCUUGUAGGCGUGUGAGGGAUCCUCCCAUGUGCAAGUGUGGUGUUCCUGCUAAGCUUAUGCGUCCUAACUUAGGGGAUCCACCUAAGUUUACUCCAUUCUUUCGAUGCUCCCUAAAGACUCAUGUAAGUAUAUUACGAGAAUAUUAGUAUGUCGUUUAGCUAGCAGUUAUAAUUUUGCAGUAUAUUGUUCAUACUUUAACUUGAUGUUAUUGCUUGGUAGUUGGAGCAGCGUUUUGUAGUUACUUUACAUAUGAGUAGUUCACGUCAUGGGUUUUUUGCAGGAUGGGUGGCCGUUGUGUGAUUUCAAUGAGUAUAUAUACGGCCCAAUGGCAAUGUGGCCAACAGAGGAGGAAGUGCGGGAGUUUGAAAGUGAAAAUGCACCGUGGCCAUGUGUGUCCUCUCCUAGUGAUAGAUGCAAGUGUGGUAUAUUGGCAACAGAAGGUGUGGUGCCUUCUGAACUUGGAUAUGGUUCGUUCUGUGGAAAUGCACAUGGCGAUUACUGGGUUAGUAACUACUCGUCUCUUAUGUUUUAUGAAGGUUGUAACUUGAUUCAAAUUUGUAAGAAUAUUGAAUUGUUGUUGCAGGAGGGAAGGACAUGUGAUUGGGAAGAUUUUUGUGGUCGAUAUGAUUUGUUAUUAAAGUUGGGAAAUACAUCGGAACCAUGGAAGUUAAGGAAACAACAAGAAAUUAAAGAAAAGAUUAGGAAGAAGUAUGAUGUGCCUAUUCCUGACGACGACUUGCUUUGGGGAAAAAUAUAUCAAGAUAUGGUGCAUGAGACUGGAGUGAAACCUAAUGGACUUUAUGCAAGGGAAACUAUUAUUAAGUAUUGGAGGCAAAAUAGAUCCAAGUAUCCACGACCUCUAACUGAAAAUGAGAAGAGAGAAAAUAGGAGGAAGUUGCAGGAGGAGAGGGAGUUGGAGAAACAAAGGUUGAUGGAGGAAAGAGAUCGCUUAGGUUAUGUGGUUGAUCCGAAUGUGAAAUAUCCUGAGGGUUCAUGGGAACAAUAUUUGCAACAAAAAGCGGCAAGAAAAAGAAGGCUUGAAAUGGAAGAGUUACAACAAAAAGCGGAAGAGGCACAGAUGGAGACGAUGAAGGCUCUUGUUGCCGAUUUACCUGUUGGUAAGGUUAAUGUCGAUAAGAAAGGCAAGGGAGUUGUUGUUGCCGGAGAUGUUGAUGAUGAUGAUGAUGACGACGAGUUACUAUAUGAAGGUGACUCGGACUAGAUGAACGUGUUGAUGUAGCUGGAUCAUGUUUCUCUGAAAACUAUGUAGAACAUUAUGUUUAUGUUUAUUCUGGGAACUAUAAUUAGUUGUCAAAAACUAUUUUCAUUUCCGAGAGAACUAUGUUCAGACGCAUCAAAGUUUGCCGUGACAUGACUGGCUUCUUGUGGUUUUGGCGUGCUGUUUUCCUGACCUCCUGUCCACGGAUCACCGUAGUCAAUCUCCAUGCAUCUUCCCGACCCGGAAGGAAUAAGGUAUAGGAAAGAAGGCAAUGCUUUCUUUUUUUUUCAUUUUUGAUCUGUAAAUUGAGUUGUUAAUGAAUCCGCUUUAUUCGCCGACUCUAUUUCAUUCGCUGAAUAUAUAUGAUAUUUCUUUUCUUUGAAACACAAAUUCUAUAACAAGGUUUGAGACCUUUUGUUUGUAUCUAUUUAUCUCUUUGUAUACUAGUGGAAUUUCAUUGUAUUGGGUUCUUUCUUAGAUCUAAAUGGAGUGGAAUAGAGAAAUAAAAAAAAGGCCUUUCAUAUAAAAAUGGAAGAAUAUUAUACCAUAUAUCUCACUUGGAUAAAACAAAUUAGAAGCAAUUUUCUCUUAUUCUCGUUUGUUCCUUCCUUUAGAUAAAUACUCGAAAAUCUACUGAAAUCUACUUUCAGUA
rnacentral:lncRNA from 1 species